ensembl:lncRNA
CUGAUAUGUGUUUCAUUUAUUCCAGGAAGGCUUUAACUGGCAAAUGACAUAGAAAAGAAAAAUAGAUCUUAAAAAUGAAAUAUGUAUUUGCCAGAAAGAGAUCAAUUUUUUAACUUCUAGGGAAAAUUCUCAAUAUUGGGGGUUCAAAGCUAGAGAAGGAAGACAUUUUACAUCGUCAUAUUUGUAGCUUCCCCAAAGCAGAGAAGAAUCAGUGAAUCAGACUAUUUCAAAUGUAAUGUGAUCCCAGCAAAUUGGUGAAACUCGACUCUGGUAAAUAAGGCAUUGCUUCUAGCAAUUUCCCCCUUUUCUAUCAUAUCAUCCCUCUACAAGUUUUUUGUUUUGUUUUUUAGAGGGGAAAAAACUUAUUCCCUCGGAGUGGAGGCAAGGGUAUUGGUAAAGGGGAAAGCUGUGCCUGAAGGAAAUAAUAGAACCACUCAUAUUAGAGUCAAGAACCAAGCAAAGUUGUCCUGCUCACUCUUUUUCAGCUAUUCAGCUAUUACCUGAAGCUUUUCAUCACUGUUAUUGCAUGAACAAGAAUAAAUCUUGUUGCACAUAUUACAUUGCUGCUGAAGACUUUUUCCUGCAACCAUCAAAAAAAUCGAUUGUCAGGGUUUGUCACCUCCCGGGGCUACAGAGCUCACUUUCAGAAGGACUUUUGUUCCUGAAGCAAGCUUACAGUCUUUUUGAAGUUUCCUGAUAACUCCCAAGGAAGCAGUGUGAGCUAAACCAACAAACAUGGGAGAAAUUACAGUCUCACAAUAAAAACUGACCCAAGUAUUAAACUGGAGUUUAAAUGAAUCUUGGUUCCUUUUGUUAGCACCCAUCCCCACUCACCCUGGAGUCUACUAUAGACCUACAUCUAGCCUCUUAUCCCAGUGGAAAGAGACCUAGAUUUAGAGUAAGAUGACCUGAUUUUAAAUGAUUAGCAGUUAGGUGGAACAGAGCCUGAAGUCAGGAAGGCCCAAUUGGAAAUCUAGCCUCAAACACUUACUAGCUGGACAAGUCAAUGUGCACGUACCAUUGGAGGAAUAUGUAAAUUGGGGUUAAUAACAGCAUUUACCUCACAGGGUUAUGAUGAGGAUCAAAUGAGAUCUUUGUACAUGAUAGUUACUGUCUCCCUCAUUUUUGGGUAGGUUAUUCAACUUUUAUAGAGUUAUUCUUCAUCAUCUGUAAAAUGAGAGCGCUCUAAGAUGCUCUGAUUUUUCCGUGACCCACCAGAGCCCCUACACUUUAUUUUAUUCAGGGGUCUCCUUCUUUUGUUACAUACCUUUAUAUUCAAUUUCAUCACUACCUUCUUUUUCAUACAAAGAUCUUUUCAGAUCUUUCUAUACAAAAUUGAUUUAAGAACAGAUAAUAAUGGAUAAUAAUAAAAUAAUGCUUUGAAAUCACUUACACAGAGGACUGAAAUAACACUCAUCUAUAUUUCAGAGGGAACUCUGGCCUCUUUGAUGUAUGUGUACCAUAUUUAAUUAUCUACCUUUCUGACAAAUGAAGGUCUUGAAAACAUAGUCUUCCCAUUCCAUAGCCUCGGGGUUCUGGACUGCAAGUAUUUUUUUUUCUGGGCUCCAGCAAUAGCACGGACUGUUCUUUGUUUUCUCUUGCCACAAUACCUACAUUUGUAGCUAGAAACCAAAGCUAAUGGUGGACCAGAAAUACAGUCCCUUUCACUGAUUGCCCCUUAAAUACACCAAG